UACGGAGGGUGCAAGCGUUGUUCGGAAUUACUGGGCGUAAAGCGUGCGCAGGCGGCGUAGUAAGUCAGACGUGAAAGUCCGGGGCUCAACUCCGGGAGGUCGUUUGAAACUGCUGCGCUUGAGUACGGGAGAGGGGUGUGGAAUUCCCAGUGUAGAAGUGAAAUUCGUAGAUAUUGGGAGGAACACCAGUGGCGAAGGCGACACCCUGGCCCGAGACUGACGCUCAUGCACGAAAGCGUGGGUAGCAAACAGG
rnacentral:misc_RNA from 1 species